rnacentral:rRNA from 1 species
AUUCCAGCUCCAAUAGCGUAUAUUAAAGUUGUUGCAGUUAAAAAGCUCGUAGUUGGAUUUGUGGUGGGGUCUUUGGUGCACUUUUGUACCGUAAGACCCCGCCAUCCUUGGGUGGAACCUGUGUGGCAUUAGGUUGUCGUGCAGGGGAUGCUCAUCAUUUACUGUGAAAAAAUCAGCGCGUUCAAAGCAGGCUUAUGCCAUUGAAUGUAUUAGCAUGGAAUAAUAAGAUAGGACCUUGGUACUAUUUUGUUGGUUUGCGCACCGAGGUAAUGAUUAAUAGGGACAGUUGGGGGUAUUCGUAUUCCAUUGUCAGAGGUGAAAUUCUUGGAUUUCUGGAAGACGAACUACUGCGAAAGCAUUUACCAAGGAUGUUUUCAUUAAUCAAGAACGAAAGUUAGGGGAUCGAAGAUGAUUAGAUACCAUCGUAGU